rnacentral:rRNA from 1 species
AGUAACGGGGAGGGAAAGGAGAUUAGCCCAACAUCGAAGCCUCUUGAUAAUUAUUGAGAAGGCAAUGUGAUGUUUCGGCAUGCAUCUUAGAUGGUCCGUACAAUCGAAGUCCACUCCGAUUAUGGCUUUGGAUUUGUCCCAUAGAGGGUGAAAGGCCCGUUCGAUUGUACUCUGUUGUUUUUGGAUCGUCUUUUGAUAUGUAUGCUUUGGAGUCGGAUUGCUUGAGAAUGCAGUCCAAAGUGGGUGGUAAACUCCAUCCAAGGCUAAAUACUGGCACGAGUCCGAUAGUAUACAAGUACCGUGAGGGAAAGUUGAAAAGUACUCUGAAGAGAGAGUAAACAGUACGUGAAGCCGACUGAAUGGAAGCUGGCGGAGUCAAGCUUUUAGCAUUUGGAAUUGAUGCAGAGGCCUUAUCUUUCUUAAAGACCGGUUUAAUUGGCUUGAAAAUAACUUGGCGGUUCGCUGCUUUGAGUUAUCCGGGCUGGUGACUUUUGUUGGGCCGGUUUCUUUAGUCUCUUGUAUUAUUUCCUUGUGCAUAAACCAUGGUCAAUGGAAUUGCGGUGCUUUUCAGUCUAACCGAGUUUCAAGUGAGCAUUCGCUUACUUGGCUCGGAACGGGAGGUGGUGGCUUUUUAGCUUUCGCUGAAUAGACACGUAUAAUGGUUUUACCUGCUGACUGGAGUGCUUUAAUUACUGUCAAAUCCAUUGUCUUUAAGACCUGGGUAUCCUUAAUCGGUAGCCCAUGUGAGAGCCAUGGUGUUGAAGUAGACCUUCCUCCGGACCCGUCUUGAAACACGGACCAAGGAGUUUAACUUGCUCGCAAGUCAACGGAUCCAUCGAAAUCCAUUGGCGCAAUGAAAGUGAACGGUUGCUUUUCGUGGCCGUAGGUGUGAUCUUUGCUUAUCCUGAAUCGGGUUGCAGAGCGUAACACCGGCCCGUCUCGUAAUGUAGUCAUGCUGGUCAAGACUGGUGUGCAUCAUUGAGGCGGAGCAAGAGCGAGCAGGUUGAGACCCGAAAGAUGGUGAACUAUGCUUGCGUAGGUUGAAGCCAGAGGAAACUCUGGUGGAGGACCGUCGCGGUUUUGACGUGCAAAUCGAUCGUCAAACGUGAGCAUAGGGGCGAAAGACUAAUCGAACCAUCUAGUAGCUGGUUCCCUCCGAAGUUUCCCUCAGGAUAGCUAGCACUCGUUUGAUACAGUUUUAUCCGGUAAAGCGAAUGAUUAGAGGUAUUGGGGACAAUAUGGCCUCAACCUAUUCUCAAACUAUUAAUGGGUACGAUGCAUGGCUCGCUUAAUUGGAGUUGUGCAUUGAAUGUGAGUGCUAAGUGGGCCAUUUUUGGUAAGCAGAACUGGCGCUGUGGGAUGCUCCGAACGUUAAGAUAAGGUGCCCAACGUUGACGCUCAUGAGAUACCACAAAAGGUGUUAAUGCAUAUAGACA